GACGAACGCUGGCGGCGUGCUUAACACAUGCAAGUCGAACGGUGAAGCUCCAGCUUGCUGGAGUGGAUCAGUGGCGAACGGGUGAGUAACACGUGAGCAACCUGCCCCAGACUCUGGAAUAAGCGCUGGAAACGGCGUCUAAUACUGGAUACGAGAUCAAGCCGCAUGGUUAUGGUCUGGAAAGUUUUUCGGUUUGGGAUGGGCACGCGGCCUAUCAGCUUGUUGGUGAGGUAAUGGCUCACCAAGGCGACGACGGGUAGCCGGCCUGAGAGGGCGACCGGCCACACUGGGACUGAGACACGGCCCAGACUCCUACGGGAGGCAGCAGUGGGGAAUAUUGCACAAUGGGCGAAAGCCUGAUGCAGCGACGCCGCGUGAGGGAUGACGGCCUUCGGGUUGUAAACCUCUUUCAGCAGGGAAGAAGCGAAAGUGACGGUACCUGCAGAAGAAGCACCGGCUAACUACGUG
rnacentral:rRNA from 1 species